AGUGAACGCUGGCGGUAGGCCUAACACAUGCAAGUCGAACGGCAGCACAGGAGAGCCUGCUCUCUGGGUGGCGAGUGGCGGACGGGUGGGGAAUACAUCGGAAUCUGCCCAGUCGUGGGGGAUAACGUAGGGAAACUUACGCUAAUACCGCAUACGACCUUCGGGUGAAAGAGGGGGAUCGCAAGACCUCUCGCGAUUGGAUGAGCCGAUGUCGGAUUAGCUAGUUGGCGGGGUAAUGGCCCACCAAGGCGACGAUCCGUAGCUGGUCUGAGAGGAUGAUCAGCCACACUGGAACUGAGACACGGUCCAGACUCCUACGGGAGGCAGCAGUGGGGAAUAUUGGACAAUGGGCGCAAGCCUGAUCCAGCCAUACCGCGUGGGUGAAGAAGGCCUUCGGGUUGUAAAGCCCUUUUGUUGGGAAAGAAAUCUUUCAGGCUAAUACCCUGGGAGGAUGACGGUACCCAAAGAAUAAGCACCGGCUAACUUCGUG
rnacentral:rRNA from 1 species